rnacentral:sRNA from 10 species
GGCUUGCACAGGCCAAAAUCGUGUGCCCUAGACCUGGAUCUCGGAUCACAGGGAUGGAAGACUCACCGCGCUAGUGAGCACUCAGCAACUAUCCUUGACCGGACGACGAUCGCUAAUUGCCGCGGUUUUGCUGUUU